CGGAUUGUUUCUUUCGGGUAUAGAUUUUUUGGGUUUUGAAAUUUUUUUUAGGUACUUCCUUUUUUUAUUUCUUUUUAUUUAUGGAUUCUACCACUGUAUUUAAAAUCAAUUUAAACUAAUUAAUUAUAAUUCCAAAACUUAUCUAAACAAAUCGAUAUUCAUAUAUUGACAAUUAUUAAUAUUGUAAGAAUAUUACUAAAUAAAUAUUUUUCUAUUUCAAUUAAUUUAGCUAAACACAUAUAUAUAUAUAUAUAUGUAUGUAUGUAUAUUUAUUUGUUUACGGAAUCUGUUAGGCAUAGACAUUUGGGUACCCAUUUAGGUACGGGUCAUUUUUUCGGGUAUUUAUUUUUUGGAUUUUGAAAUUAAGCCAUGUUUGGAUAUAAAUUUAUGUUUGAGUUUCAAGUUGGAUUACUCGGGUCUGUAUGAAUUUGGUUCUGAUGUACAGAAAACUAAAAUAUUUA
rnacentral:lncRNA from 1 species